UUCCCCAUUCCAUUCCAGGCAUUAUGACUGAGGUCAUAAUGGCCUUUUCUGAUUACGGUUCAACAGAACUGUUCCACAACUGGGGAUGAGGGCAGGGGCUAUUCCUGAUUUCAGUCGCUAAUGUCUGGAAAACCACAAGCCAACAGGAUCUGUUCAACAUGAAGCUGCGAUUAUUAGCAUUGCCCCUCUUCUAGAGGUCUUAGACUGGAAAAGAAGGUCCAGCCUAUUGAACAAUCAACCAUAAUCCAAGCGCUUGGAAGUAUGAGCCACAAAUAAGCUGAUCGGAGCCUUAAAGGAACAGCUCUGGUGUUGCCUUACAGAUAUAAAACAGGUCAAGCCAGGAUUCUUUUCAAGAAACCACAGAUAUGCGCUACAGAGACUGAAGACUUCCCACAUCUAAGGCUUCACUGGAGGGCUGCAGCUGAAGUCUCGCCAACCCAGGCAUGCCCAAGCAGAGGCCAACCCGCAAGUGAAGUCGGCGCAAUCAAAGGCAGCAAUUACCGUUCCCUUGCUGUGGUUAGGCUUCAAAGCAAAGCGCUGCAAGUCACAUUUUAGCAUAUGUGAAGCCUUGAGCCUGCGCCACAACAUGAUCUGCCGUUUAGGCUGUAGUGCAGAUCUAACUGCAGCAGAGAAAGAAGGAACUGUGCCUCAGAAAUAAAAGUUGAAUUU